rnacentral:misc_RNA from 1 species
ACAAAGUCAUAUAACUGCAAUCUAGAUUAAAGAUAACAUAUAAGCAUUAUAUAACAAAAGGUAAUAUACAUACCCUGAUGAAGAAAGAAAAUAAAGCAAAUUUUUAGAAAAUGCAAUUAACAGUUGCAUCAAGGCAAUAACAGGCCAAGAGAAAACCUUAUGAAAAACUCAAAUAAACCACAAUCCAAAAUAAUGGAACAGGAUUACUUUUACUGUUUUGCAUAAUUCAGCUUCAUGUAGAGAAGCAAUCCCUGUUUCAGGAAAUGCCCACAUAAAACACAGCUUAAUCUAAAGGCCAAAGGCCUAUAUUGGCCAGCUGCUAAAUUCACACCUAGUCAAAGUUGUCCCUAUAUUUGAAUUGUAGUUGAUCAAACCCUUCAACUAUUCGAAUCUAGUUAAUUAAGUCAAUUGAUAACUGCAAUUAACUCAUGAAUACGUGCACCAUUACUUACUGGUGUGUAGAGAUGCACAUUUUAAAUUAAACAUAAAGUGGCUGAUCUGGCAAUUUUCUACUAAGUACUAAUUAAAUAUUAAUAUACAUUUCCCAACACAACUUUCCUUUGUUUACUUUUUCCCUCUUUCUUCUUGGUGCAUCAUUAAAUUAGAUAAAAUCCACAAACCCUAAACUUCUCGAACAAAACAAUUCCACAAUAAUCAGUUUUUCUUACCCAUGGCUGCCAGACAUUUUAAUACUUUUUCUAUUUAAAUUUUUCUCAUGAAGACCUCCUGCAACUGAAUUCUUAUCAUACACAUCAAAUGCAUUACGCAACUUGUUAUAGUGCAUAUCCAGCCAUCGAUUUUAAAUUGCCACCAAGCUCAGUGAUAAAGAAUUUGCAGGCACCAUUAGUGUUGAAAUUGAUGAGCACCUUUUGGAGCUUG